rnacentral:rRNA from 1 species
GACGAACGCUGGCGGCGUGCCUAAUACAUGCAAGUCGAGCGCACGGGCGUGAUGCUUGUAUCUAUUAUGUUAGCGGCGGACGGGUGAGUAACACGUGGAUAAUCUACCUUUAAGCCUGGGAUAACUUCGGGAAACCGGUGCUAAUACCGCAUAAUAUUUUGAAACACAUGGUUCAAGAGUGAAAGAUGCUAUUGCUUCCCCUUAUGGAUGGCUCCGCGCUGCUUUAGCUAUUUGGUAAGGUAACGGCUUACAAAGGCAACGAUGCAUAGCCGACCGGAGAGGUGGAUCGGCCACUCGGGAACUGAGCCACGCUCCAGACCCCAACGGGGGCAAGCAUAGGGGAUCCUUCCGCAUGGAGCGAAGGCCUAACGGGGCAACGCCGCGGGGUGAAGAAGGGUCUCCGGUUCUAAAAACUCGUUGAUAAGGGAGGAAGAUAUGGGGAAGGAACUGUUCACAUCUUGACGGUACCUAAUCAGAAAGCCACGGCUAACUACGUG